rnacentral:rRNA from 1 species
AUUGAACGCUGGCGGCAGGCCUAACACAUGCAAGUCGAACGAGUGGCGGACGGGUGAGUAAUGUCUGGGAAACUGCCUGAUGGAGGGGGCUAACUACGGGAAACGUUAGCUAAUACCGCAUACCAUCGGAUGUGCCCAUAUGGGAUUAGCUAGGAGGUGGGGUAAUGGCUCACCUAGGCGACGAUCCCUAGCUGGUCUGAGAGGAUGAGCAGCCACACUGGGACUGAGACACGGCCCAGACUCCUACGGGAGGCAGCAGUGGGGAAUAUUGCACAAUGGGCGCAAGCCUGAUGCAGCCAUGCCGCGUGUAUGAAGAAGGCCUUAGGGUUGUAAAGUACUUUCAGUCGGGAGGCGUUACCGACAGAAGAAGCACCGGCUAACUCCGUGCCAGCAGCCGCGGUAAUAC